rnacentral:rRNA from 1 species
GACGAACGCUGGCGGCAUGCCUAAUACAUGCAAGUCGAGCGAACAGAUGAAGUGCUUGCACUUCUGACGUUAGCGGCGAACGGGUGAGUAACACGUAAGGAAUCUACCUAUAAGCGGGGGAUAACAUUCGGAAACGGGUGCUAAUACCGCAUAAUAUCUUCUUCCGCAUGGAAGAAGAUUGAAAGACGGCUCUGCUGUCACUUAUAGAUGACCUUGCGGUGCAUUAGUUAGUUUGUGGGGUAACGGCCUACCAAGACGAUGAUGCAUAGCCGACCUGGGAGGGGUAUCGGCCACAUUGGGACUGGGACACGGCCCAAACUCCUACGGGAGGCAGCAGUAGGGAAUCUUCCGCAAUGGGCGAAAGCCUGACGGAGCAAUGCCGCGUGAGUGAAGAAGGCCUUCGGGUCGUAAAACUCUGUUAUAAGAGAAGAACAAAUUGUAGAGUAACUGCUACAGUCUUGACGGUAUCUUAUCAGAAAGCCACGGCUAACUACGUGCCAGCCGCCGCUGUAA